rnacentral:lncRNA from 1 species
GUGACCUAACUCCAAAACAUUAACUUCACUCAAUCCAAAAUGCUUCAACCAGCAACAUCAAACAAUCUGUUCAAAAAUUCUUUUCAUUGUACACAUCCACAAAACUGAAAAUUGUACGAUGAAGACACACACAUGCACAGCCUUAAAUAUUUCACAAGUACACGAAAUUCCAACUCAAGUUCAACAUUUUCCAGAUUGUCUAUCGAAAUGCAUACAAAGAAACACUUGACUUAUGAACCCCGCUCUAACCAAAACGGGAUGAACAGUCAUCAGCAUUCUUAACCAUAAGAUGUAAAAACACAAAUAGAAAACUUUAAAAAGAACAAAGUAAAAGAUGGACCUGGACUGCAUUAUUCAAUUAAUUCAAAUGUUCGGCAGUUCUACGGACGGAAACAGAAGACAAUUGCGACCAGAAUUCGACAGACGACCCUCAAGGCAGCCUUGAGCACCAACUGUUUCCCGGAUCUGAGCUUGAUCGGACAGCCUCAAAAGGAUAGGGAUAUGAACGGAGAAACAAACAAAACUCAGGACCUCUCCUUUGGGGAGAAGAACAAGAACAAAUCUAUGUAUGUGUGUCUUUCGUGAAUCUGUCCGUCUAAGUUCCGACGACUGGAUGGUGAAGGCUGUGUGUGUUUUUUGGUGUCGCGACUGAAGUAAGGUCCCUGGUUUGACGAGAUGAGGAGUCGAAGUGUGGCAUGGUUCAUCGGUUAUUGAAGAGAGCAGGCGUCAAUGGAGGUUUUGAAGCUAAAAGAGAAGAGUAGUGGGCUAGGGUCUUUCUCGGUUAGUAGCAGUAACGAUGGAGGAGGAAGAAGAAGACGUGAGAAGGGGCUCCCUUCUGUUGAAAGUUGCGCUCCUGAUGCCUCUUCCCCUAUCAGGCAUUAUUUUCAUUGUAUAGGUUUUAGGUUUUAG